rnacentral:misc_RNA from 1 species
GUAGUCCUUCAACUUCAGCUUGCACGCUGCAUUGUUCAGAUUACACGAGACCUUCAACACCUUAGCUUGCUUCUUCUCCUCUUCACUGAAGGAGGUAUCAUACUCUAUGAAUUUAACUCCCUUUUCGUAUCUCUUAGAAGCCCGGGCAUAUUUGCCCAAUUUGAACAAUGCGUUGCCCUCUUCCUUCUUUUUACCAGCAGCUUCAAUCUUUUCCUGGUUAUUCAUAUCCCAUGACUCUUUCUCCUUGUCAAAAGCCACAAGCUCAACCUCGUAAUUCACAGUUGAGUUUGGAGGAACUAUAGCCAAAUCCUGUUGUGACUCAGACGAACCAAAAGCAUACUCUGGUGCUAUUGUCAGCAAGGCUAUCUCACCUUUCUUCAUUGUCGCCACAGCUUUGUCGAGG